AGGGGUUUGGUAUAGAGGUUGUGCCUUGGUCUCCAAAACCAAAGAGAUGAGUUCAAGUCUUAUAGCCCCUGCCA
rnacentral:tRNA from 1 species